rnacentral:tRNA from 1 species
CAAAAUGAGCUUAAUUUAAAGCAUCUUGCUUACACCAAGAAGAUACCCGUGAAAUUCGAGUCAUUUUGA